UGAGGAAUAUUGGUCAAUGGGCGCAAGCCUGAACCAGCCAUGCCGCGUGCAGGAUGACGGUCCUAUGGAUUGUAAACUGCUUUUAUACGAGAAGAAACACUCCUUCGUGAAGGAGCUUGACGGUAUCGUAAGAAUAAGGAUCGGCUAACUCCGUGCCAGCAGCCGCGGUAAUACGGAGGAUCCAAGCGUUAUCCGGAAUCAUUGGGUUUAAAGGGUCCGUAGGCGGUUAGAUAAGUCAGUGGUGAAAGCCCAUCGCUCAACGGUGGAACGGCCAUUGAUACUGUUUAACUUGAAUUAUUAGGAAGUAACUAGAAUAUGUAGUGUAGCGGUGAAAUGCUUAGAGAUUACAUGGAAUACCAAUUGCGAAGGCAGGUUACUACUAAUGGAUUGACGCUGAUGGACGAAAGCGUGGGUAGCGAACA
rnacentral:rRNA from 1 species